rnacentral:rRNA from 1 species
UACGUAGGGCGCAAGCGUUGUCCGGAAUUAUUGGGCGUAAAGAGCUCGUAGGUGGCUGGUCGCGUCUGCCGUGAAGGCCCGCAGCUUAACUGCGGGUCUGCGGUGGAUACGGGCCGGCUAGAGGUAGGCAGGGGCAAGUGGAAUUCCUGGUGUAGCGGUGAAAUGCGCAGAUAUCAGGAGGAACACCGGUGGCGAAGGCGGCUUGCUGGGCCUUACCUGACGCUGAGGAGCGAAAGCGUGGGGAGCGAACAGG